UACAGAGGUCUCAAGCGUUGUUCGGAUUCAUUGGGCGUAAAGGGUGCGUAGGCGGCGGAGCAAGUCAGGUGUGAAAGCCCGGAGCUCAACUCCGGAACUGCCAUUGAAACUGUUUAGCUUGAGGAUGAGAGAGGUGAGUGGAAUUCCCAGUGCAGAGGUGAAAUUCGUAGAUAUUGGGAAGAACACCGGUGGCGAAGGCGGCUCACUGGCUCAUUACUGACGCUCAGGCGCGAUAGCGUGGGGAUCAAACAGG
rnacentral:rRNA from 1 species